rnacentral:rRNA from 1 species
CCGACAAGCGGUGGAGCAUGUGGUUUAAUUCGACGCAACGCGAAAACCUUACCUGGGCUUGACAUGGAGAGGAUCUUCUGGAAACAGAAGAGUGCCUCGUAAGAGGAGCUCUCACACAGGUGCUGCAUGGCUGUCGUCAGCUCGUGCCGUGAGGUGUUGGGUUAAGUCCCGCAACGAGCGCAACCCUCAUCUCUAGUUGCCAUCAUUAAGUUGGGCACUCUAGAGAAACUGCCGCAGUUAAUGCGGAGGAAGGUGGGGAUGACGUCAAGUCCUCAUGGCCCUUAUGUCCAGGGCUACACACGUGCUACAAUGGGCGGUACAAAGGGUCGCAAACCCGUAAGGGGGAGCAAAUCUUGUCAAAGUGCGCCUCAAUUCGGAUUGCAGUCUGCAACUCGACUGCAUGAAGUUGGAAUCGCUAGUAAUCGCGGAUCAGCAAAGCCGCGGUGAAUACGUUCCCGGGCCUU